AUACAGAGGGUGCAAGCGUUAAUCGGAUUUACUGGGCGUAAAGCGCGCGUAGGUGGCUAAUUAAGUCAAAUGUGAAAUCCCCGAGCUUAACUUGGGAAUUGCAUUCGAUACUGGUUAGCUAGAGUAUGGGAGAGGAUGGUAGAAUUCCAGGUGUAGCGGUGAAAUGCGUAGAGAUCUGGAGGAAUACCGAUGGCGAAGGCGGCCAUCUGGCCUAAUACUGACACUGAGGUGCGAAAGCAUGGGGAGCAAACAGGAUUAGAUACCCUGGUAGUCCAUGCCGUAACCGAUGUCUCCUAGCCGUUGGGGCCCUUGAGGCUUUAGUGGCGCAGCUAACGCGAUAAGUAGACCGCCUGGGGAGUUCGGUCGCAAGACUAAAACUCAAAUGAAUUGACGGGG
rnacentral:rRNA from 1 species